GUACUGGCCAUCGGCACGGCGAACCCGCACCACUGCGUGCCCCAGGGCGACUACCCCGACUACUACUUCCGCGUCACCAACAGCGACCACCUCACCGACCUCAAGCCCACCUUCGCCAAGCUAUGCGGGAUGACGGGCAUCGGCAGGCGUUUCUUCCACCACACCGACGAAAUGCUCGCCACGCACCCGAACUUGUCCCUCGACGCCCGGCUGGACGUCGUGGCUACCGCUGCGCCGGAACUCGCCGCGUCGGCUGCCGCGAAGGCCAUAGCCGAAUGGGGCCGUCCGGUGGGCGACAUCACCCAUCUCGUCGUCAGCACCAACGCGGGAUCGCACGCCCCGGGCACCGAUGUCCGCUUGGUCUCCCUCCUCGGCCUCCGCCAUGAUGUCCUGCGCACCGUGCUCCAGCUCAACGGCUGCGCUUCCGGGUGCGCCGCCCUGCGCUUAGCCAAGGACCUCGCCGAGAACAACCGCGGUGCGCGCGUCCUCGUGGCCUGCGUCGAGCUCACUAUCACCGCCUUCCGCGGGCCCGACAAGGCGGACUCCUUCGACGCCCUCAUCCCCCAAGGGCUCUUCGGUGACGGUGCAGGCGCCGUCAUCGUGGGUGCUGAACCCUACGUCCACGAGCGCCCGCUGUUUGAGAUGGUGUCAGCUUCCCAGUACGUGAUACCAGACACCGAGCACAUGCUCACCAUGCAGCUCGGCAGCGGUGGCAUCGGCGGGACCAUUGCCACCGGACUGCCAAGACUGGCGGCGGGCAUCGUUGAGCAGUGCCUGCUAGAUGCAUUUGGCGACCGCCUAGCCGGCAGCGGAGGUGUCGUCGAAUGGAACAACCUCUUCUGGGCCGUGCAUCCCGGCAGCAGUGUGAUGUUGGACCACAUCGUCAGGGCACUCCGGCUUGCUCCGGGGAAGCUGGCGGCGAGCAGAACCGUGGUGAGAGAGUAUGGGAACAUGCUGGGCGCCACGGUGAUCUUCGUGCUCGAUGAGGUCAGGCGCCAAAGAGAAGAUCCUCAAGGAGAGGGAGCUGGCCAUGAUGAAGGCUGGGGGGUGAUGAUGGGAUUUGGACCGGGGUUCACUGUGGAGGCGAUGCUGCUGCACGCCGCUACCUAGGUAAUUAGAAAGAACAAAUAAAAAACACAUGGCAUAUAUAUUCAAUAAAGUGCAUGAAAUGCAACCUUUUAUAUUUCCAUAUCCACAUAUCACCUAUAUAUACGUAAGUGUAAGAAAUGUGAACAUGUGGUGUGAGAGUGGUUAAGUCCUGUAAGAGUGAUCUACAAUAUAUGGUUAUAAAUAAAAUUUUAGCUACUUGCAAGUUGCUUCAGUUGUAAAUUUGGAUCGGUCAAUUUCUUGGCCGUUCAUUUUUGCUCUCGAAUUCGUGCUAUGGUUUUUUUUUCUGGACUGCCGUGGUCUUAUUUUUCUUUUUUUUAACUGGCCUCAUAUUUUGAUCAGUCGCUUUGCUUCUGGGACGAAGCCCAUUAAUUGUGCGAUCAAGCCCUCCUAUCUCUUCCUUUGUUUCUUAUGUCUUUUCUGAUUUUAUGUGUUUUCGUCUUUGUUCUUUGUACUCUCUCCGUCCGGAAAUACUUGUGAUCAAAAUGAAUAAAAAGAGAUGUAUCUAGAACUAAAAUACGUCUAGAUACAUCCCUUUUUAUCCAUUUUGAUGACAAGUAUUUCCGGAUAGAGGGAGUAUUUCUUUGUUAGUUGGUAUUUCUUUUUCUUUUUUUGAUAUUUCUGGAAUCUUGGCUGCCAUUAUGGACAUCUAGUUGCUGAGAUGCAUCGUCUCAUGGGUGAAAGGGAAUUUAUUCCGUCGAAGAUUAAUCGAGUUCAGAAUAGGGUUGCAGAUCGGCUGGCGUAUUAUAGCCGUACGGAGAAUACAACUGCUGUAUGACUAGGUAGGAGUCCACCGUGUGUGGAGGAACUUGUGCCACUUGAUUGUAUCCCUAUCACACUGGAAUAAAAAUCCUUUUACCCUCGCAAAAAAAACAAACUAAUAGGCUACAGUGACAGUGAUUUGACUGGGGAUAUCAAUGAUAGAAAGAGCACAACCGGAGUAGUUUUCUUCAUAUGUCCCAAUAUAGUGAGUUAGAUUUCUCACAAGCAAAAGGUAGUAGCAGAGUCUUCAUAUGAAGCAGAAUACCAUGCUUCUGCUACUGCAGCUUGUCAAGGCAUUCAGCUGAGCAGAUUGCCAUCUCAGUUGAAAUUUGAAGAACCAGAACAAUUUAUGCUCAUGUUGGAUAAUAAAUCGGCAAUGGCACUCAGCAGAAACCCGUCCACCACGACAGGAGCAAGCAUAUCAAUAUAAAAUAUCAUUUCAUCAGAGAUUACGUGGAGGAGAAGAUGUCAGGACAGUGGGUCAGCUGGCAGACAUACUAAGUGUCAGCAUGUGGUGUGCUUGACACAUGUUCAGACGCCGCACUGUAGAGCAUGUCCAUGUACUGCUGCAUCGACAGCAGGGUUGUAAAAGGGUGAGGUGCAUCGUGCAGCAAACCAACCCCAACUAUUCACUCUGAAAGAAUAGAAAGAAAAGGAAGGCUCCCAAAAAGGAGGCUGGACCCAAAUCCUCCGUCUCUGCUCUGAUUUUUACCUCAGGUUUUCUUCUCCGGCGAGUUCAGAAUCCACCGUACUAAGCUAGUUCGAGCGUGAGAUUAGAGGAGAUGCAUGAAGUGCUAAGUAAAUAGGCAAUUUUUCGACUAAUUUAAUUCAUAGAUAAAUCACUAGCUUAGCAUUGACUGAAUUGACGACAUACAGACUCUGAUCUAAACACGCACGUACUAAGCAAACAGUAGACAAAUCUACAGAUACGGCUAGUAACGCUAAUACGAAAAUAAACAGGAGCGGGAUAAACGUGUUAUACCCUCCAGUAGGCCAGGCAGAAGCCGCGGUAGCGGUGACAGCAGUAGCGGCAUCCUCGGCGGCCUUCUUCUCGGCCUUGGUCUUCUCGACGGCGGCACAUUCGGCGUCGGUGGACAUGAUGAUGACGAAGACGACGCGGACGUAGAGGAAGUAGUGGAUCGAAGGCGAGCAGUCGCCGCUCCCCAAAAACCUAUUCGCCUCGCUCCCAUACAGAAACAGGAGAGACGGGGUUUCGGAGACCUGCUCUCCCAUCGAUCGUGUACGCGACGGACGGGAUGGAGUCACCGGUGGCAGCGGCAGUAGAGGAACGACGGUGGGCGGUUCGCGUGGAGCAGAUGUGAUUUGAUCGUGGAGGCUAGGAUUAGGAGAUAUCGCACACUUAUAUAGGCGCAGCCGCGUGGAGAGACAUGGGCUUGACCCACAUCCGAGUCUGUGACAGCCCAUGAUCCGACGUCUCAGAUCGUGGCCCAGCUAUCAGCAACUCUCCAUUAGUGACUGGCAAAAAUAAGUGCGUAGGUGUGAGCUCAGCUCGACUCAUUCCCGCAACCCCCGUCGCGUCGUGACGAGGCGUGGCAUGGCGAGGUGGGCGACGGAGGAGGAGUGCGCGAGGGCCUCUUCUCUUCUCAAACUCCAAUAGCAUUUAGAAGAGAAACCCUUAUAAGAAGGUCCAACUCCUCUUCCACUUUCGGGGUGGGACUAAACUUCGCACUACACCUAGUGCCAAUAAACCCACAUGGGCCCUUAGAGAUUUUCAGAAAUUGCUUUAUGGGCCUAAAUCCCAUCCCAAAUUUCAGCAAUCCCCCACCAGAUCUCGAGGGCCCAUUGUGUCCUCUGUUCCAUUUGUUGUUUCAAUAUACUAGUGUUUCAGUGAAGACCUGUUAAGGUUGAGCUUCACCUAGAGCAAGUAGCUAUACUCCUUCACAACUGAACAAUGGACUUUUUCUUGAAUUGUCAGUUUGGUUUAAAGAAGCUUCACCACAUGUCUUACUAGUACUAGGCUGUCGAAGGCUGACCCCUCGGAUGGAGCAUAUAAGUCACACUCCUCGCCUAUUCAUGAGCUUACUGGAGAUCACCCCAAUCUCAUAGACUGUGACCAGCAGUCGGGCUCACAUAGGUGAGUUCCUCCAAAGAUCACUCUAUAGGAUAGGAUCUUGCUUACAUAAGCUUUGAAACACAUUAAGACAGUAGUCAUCGUACCAUACAGUAUCGAGAGUGGGUUACUGUAGUUACUCUCCUCAGUUCACCACUGGCUUGUUUUCCCAGGUCCUACUUCAUGGGAUCUCUGAUCACAUAGGUUGGUUACCACCAUGGCAACUCAUGUGGGUCUCAUACCCAUCUCCCUCGAUGCACUAUCUAUCACAACACGUGGUAGCCCUUUUGUAAAGGGAUUUGCCAGAUUCUUAGCCGUAUGCACUACAAAAAAAAUACAGUUCCGUGAUGAUACGUGUUUGUCAUAGUAGGUCGCGUUUUUUGUCAUGCAUGUACAUCCAUGACAAAUUUAUGACAGAAUCAAGAUAGUCAUACCUGUGCUGUCGUAGAAGUGUUCCAUGACAUUACCAAAAUUAUCAUCACGGAAGUGUCCACUUCCAUGACGAUAAAUCGCGCGUCACAGAACUGCUUUCGUCAAGGGUGACCGACACGUGGCAUCCACCGUAACGGAACGCCGUUAAGCUAUCGGGUCGGGUUUUGGAUCCGAUAACCCGUUAACAGCCCCGACCAAUGGGGAUUUUCCACGUGUAAAAUCAUCAUUGGCUGGAGGAAACACGUGGCGGCUCACCAUUGGGACAGAUGUCAUCCGCUCAUUGGACCGAAGGCGCAUAUGAUACGGCGACACGUGGCACGACCCAACAAAGGCCCAUUCCUGUGAAAAGGCCGACCCGUUUGACUUGGUCAAAAGGUGGCGGGCCGGCCCACGGAAAGCCUGUUAACGGCCUGUUCGCAUAUAGCCCAUUUACAGCCCGCUAACCCAGGGCCCAUUACGCCCUAUCCGAAUUAGGCCCAGUAGCGUCAUCUGGGCCGUCCAAUAUGAUUCAGCCCGUUUUAACUUCCGACCCAUGUGUGGCCCAUGACUUCUUUCGGCCCAUAUGAGGACCUUUGUAACUCUUGGCCCAUUAACGGCCCGUGGUGAAACUGGCCCGUAAUGAACAGUGUAUCACUUUAUACCCAUUAACGGCCCGUUAUUCCAUUGGGCCGUUUCCAGCCCAAGUUAUCUUUCGGCCUUCUCAGGGCCCAUUGAUUCUUGGGCUCAUUUGCAGCAUUCGGUUACAUACGGCCCGUUACUGUCAUUUUCUGCUUGUGGGCCAAAUUCAGCCCGUCGUUACAGUCGGCCCGUUUGCGGACCGUUAAUACGUUGGGCCGUUUUCUUGUAAAAAAACCCGUUGGGCUGUUUUCAUAGAGUUAUCAAAUACGGCCUAUUAACGACCCAUUAUGGUCCAUGAAUAGUACGACCCAUGAUUGGUGAAAUGAUGAUACGCCCUGUAGAAGGCCCAUGGAUCCUAUGGCCCGUAUGAGGCCCAUGGAUAGUACGGCCUGUAGAAGGCCCAUGGACCCUACGGCCCAUAGAAGGCCCAUUGAUCCCUAAGGCCCGUAUAGAAGGCCGAUGGAUCCUACGGCCUGUAUAGAAGGCCAAUGCUCCUACGACCGAACGAAGGCCCAUGGAUCAUACGGCCUGCAGGAGGCCCAUGGUUACAACAGUCCGUGUGUUGCCAAGAUUAUUUUGGCCUAGUUACCAAAAAUAGGCUAUUGUGGCCACUAGAAAAACACAGAAAAAGAACUGUAGUGACUACAAGCAAACAACUAAACAAGACAAUAAGGAAAUAAAUAAGCAAGCAAUUAAGGCUAGCCUAUUACCGCUAUUACACAUAUUACAUCCACUAGGCAUCAAAGUUCGCCACCAGUGCAAAUAUAGGGAACAAAGCAGCAUAUUACAUACACUUGGCCGUCAAAAUUGGCCACCAGUGCAAAUAAACGCGACAGCAAAACAAGAGCAUAACUGAAACAACUUCAGAAGAGUUCAAGAAACGUUAUCCUGGGUAUCCACCAUGCUGGCAAUAAGCUUAGCAAGCUGAUUAGCUUUGUCUUGUUUGGCGCUAAAAUCCUCCAACGCUUGGUGUUGCACCAGAAAGUAUGCAUCUGAAUGCUCCAGGGAAUUCCGCAGUCCUUCCACUUCUUGUCGCAGCACAGGUGAUCGAUAUCUUUCAGCUUGUAGUUGAGACUCAAGAAACUAAACUGAUUCAGACAGUUAGUUUGAAUAGCUUGUGCAAGCGGUAGUGGCCAGUAACUCGAACACUAAACCAAGACAGGACUUUGGAGUUGUCUCGCUGUCUUCAAGAUAGUCUUCUUUAGCUGUUUUAUCAGCUUUGUUGGAGACCAACAAGGAUGUGUCACUAUCCUGAACCUUAUCUGCAUUACUUCCUUUACCAUUGCUUAAUAAGGCACUUUUCCCCAAUAUUCUGUCAGCAUUCUAAAAGAAGAAACAAGCAGACACAUAACAAGUUUAGCAUGUACUAGUAUAUGAAACUCAUUUCGGUGAACCAGUUCAUUAGUAAGGUGGACAGGAUUAAACUACCAAGUCUUUUAUUGCCAAGUACUAGUACAUAAUAAAAGCAUCAAACAAACAUAUAUCUAUGUCCUAUGGUCACCGCAUUGUCUUGCGAAAUCAAAAUAGAGACACGGUUCAAAUCAUAUCAGUUCAAGACAAAGCAACAGUGAAAGAAUACAAAGCGUGGGAAACUACAUGGAACAACAAGAUUUUAGAUGGGUACCAUGGGUCUACAUGUACAACAACACUAUUGGCUCUGUUGUGAUGCUAGUAAUGUGCAUGAUAUGAAAGUCUACUGUAUACACAAUUGAAAUUGAAAUUGAAAUCAAAAGAGCUAUUGAUAAGAGCAAACCUGUUAAAGAAACAUGCGUGAACAUACCUGUCGUGCCAUUGGAGUUUUGAUUGGAUCCUUCAAUUUAAAAAUAAGUUUGUAUGAGUAAAUACAAUGAUACAAGAGCAAAGCAAUCAUAGUUAAAAAAAAGCGCGCCUAAGUGAGCGCUUAAGGCUGGUCAUAGUGGGGAGUAACUUAGACUAGUAACAUGCAUAUGUUACUAGUUUAUGUUACUACCUCUAUAGUGCAUAGUAUUUUAGAUUAGUAUCAUAGGUGGUCUCAUUUAUUGUCAUGCAUGACACAUAGUAGCAUCACAUUUAUUAUAUUACGGUAUCUACCUAUGUUACUAUAACAAUCUAUUUAUUCCUUAAUUGCCUGCCACAUAAGCAUGUUUGCGAGUCCCAAGUGCAUGAUACUACUUAUGUUACCCCCACUAUGGCUAGCCUAAGCGCGCCUAGGCUCUAGGCGUUAGCAAAACGCAUUGCACAUAACUACGCUUAAUCUAUGCAUAACUGCGCAUAAGCAUGCGCUUUGGUCAGUAAAGUGCAAGGCGGUGGCAAAACGCACAAUUAACGCCUGGCGCUUUUUUAAACUAUGAUAGCAAUGGAAUCUUAAAUUAGAACAGUUGUUCUUCAGGUUUAGGCACUUGUUCUACAUGAAUAGAGUACAGUAAGACGCAAGAAUAUAAUACUUAAAAUAGAAAAUGAGCUCAUAGACCUUACCACAUUCUUGGUUAGAACAAUGCAUUCUCAGUCAUCGUCCAAUAAAUGUGUCUCAGGAGAACGUAAGAGAAUUUGAUGAGUUUCUUUGCCGGUGAAGUACGUUUUCUUUAGGUAAUUCCGAUACCGCCACCAAGCAUUCUUGAAGAUAUUAGAGGUAUUAGCACAGGUUACCUCAUCCUAAGUUUCCAAAUCGGUCCUUCUCUAUAGAAAAAAUGGGAAAAUUUGCUGUAUUAUAACCAUCAUGGAGGUAGGAUGUAUGGGACGAAGCAAAGUAAUUGCCAUGAAUAACAUUACUUACACAUAACUCCUAGACAAACACCUGCAACUGUCAUUUUCCUUCAUCUUCAGUAUAAUAUUUCCAAGAUGGGAAGAUACGCACAUACGAUUUAACAACAUCAAAUGCGAUAGAUGCUAAACUACGAUUGGCUGGUUUUGCUUCCUCCACGGGAAUAGGCGUACUAACUGGUGAAGCUGGGGUUCGUCGUGAUAGUACUGGCCCUUUGGGCACUGGAGCUGCCUUACUAACUGCUCUUGUUUGGGAGCUCUGUGGUGGAGAUGGUGCUGUGUCAACAGGAACUGGGUUACUAUCGGCUGGGGUUGGGGUUAGAUUGGGUGAAGCUGGUUCUCUGUCCAUCGCAGUAGGGGUAUAAUCUGCGAGAGUUUGGGUUAUGUGUGGUAGGGCUAGUUCUUGUGCAUGUACAACCGGGGUGUUAUCUCCACCAAUAGGUAGCACUGUUUUAUUUGAAGACCGUAUUUUUAUUCCGCUAGAUACUGGCAUCACCGCUCCAAUUUAAAUGGCUGAUAAACAGGAAACAUAGUUGAAUGUACAGACAUUGUAUGAGAGAUAGAUGCAAUAGAUAGUGUGGAAAGAAGAGGGCAUGAAAUAGUUGACAUGUAUAUUGUUUAACUAAAACGGAUAGCAUGACAUAAUUUCACAUAUACGAUGUCUAUCUAAACUGGAUAGCAUAGCAUAACAUAAUUCAAAGAUAUGAUGAAUAACAAAACAAAAUCGCAUGACAUAAUUCACCUACAUGUUAUCUAAGUAAUCAGGAUCGCAUCAUUUAAUUCACAUAUGUGAUUUAUAUGCUAAAUAGAGGGCAUUCGAUAUGAUGUCUGAACUAAGAACAUGGUGUUGAAUAUUGUGUAUAUGAUGUCUAAACUAUGCAAUGCAAGACACCGUAUGCAUGAUAUGAGCAGUAUAACCGUGCCAAGUCAGAGCAUACACCUCAGUAGGGGAAUAGGACUGGUCAUUUGUCUCUGAAUCCAUCUCUGAGGAGCUAUCGGGACCCAACAAGAGAUCUGCUUCGACAGGUAGCACUGUCUGCUCUAAAGGCCUUGUUUUCACUCCAGAUUUUUCCAUCUCCCACCCAAAUGGCUGAUUCACAGGAAGAGUAGUUUAAUGUACAAACAUUGUCGACAAAUGGAAAUGUAAUGAAGAAAAGGAUGGGCAAGAUAUCAUUCAAAUAUAUGAUACCUGGUUAAAUAGGAUGGCAUUGCACAUUUCACAUAUAUUAUGGCUGGCUAAAAGACAUGAGACUGCAUAAUUCCCAUAUAUGAUAUAGAAACUAAACAUGUGGCAUUAUAGAACAUGUCUAAACUAAGCAGAUGACAUAUAUGAUGUCAAAAGUAGGCACUGCAAGGCAACAUAUGCAUGAUAUGACUAACAUCAUCAUGCCAAGGUAGAGCAAACACCUUGGGGGGUAAAUAGGAGUAGUCAGCGGCGUCUGAAUCCGCCUCAGAAUAGAUAUCUUCCUCUGGAUUACAAUCUGGAGAGGGGUGGGGAGGGUUUGCCAUUGAACCCACCAUGGAGGGAUGUCUGCAUGACAUUGUAUUGCCGCGCAAAACUCUUCUCUUUUUCUCUACAUGUUCAGCAUGACUGUGUACAAUAUCUGACAUGCAGGAAUUUAGAGUGAUGGUAACAACCAGUGGAUGGAUCCAAAAAUAAUGAUAGCAGGCUGAUUAUUGCUUUAAAUUAAUAAAAAGACAGAUGAUGAUUGCUUUACUAUUUAUUUCCCACCCAAGAUGAACAACAUAGGCAUACCCUAAGUGAACCAGAUAUUAGACAGACAUACUAUUCAUUGCUGCCUCAAUAUGUGCCCCACAACUAAUUUAGAACUCAAGUUUGAACAUGAAUUUGGACCUGAGUUGGGAGUCCAAGAGAUGAACAGGACGAUAAAGUAGCAGGUAAGUUUAAGCAAUGGAUAACAUAAGCAGAAACAAAAGAGUGCGACCUCUCUUGUGGACCCCUGUACUCCUCAGGUUCAUCUACUGAGUCGAUGAUGGUGAUGCCGUUGGGGUUCGUGCCGGUGGCAGGGAAGGAGAUCUGAGGCAGUGAAAGACGGUCAGGAGUCGUGAUGUCUGGUUUGGUGGAUGCUUCUAUCGUUGGAGCAGCUCAGGUGAGGUGGACGACGUCGCGGCAGGAGUAGGACAAACCACACAAAGUUCCCAUCGACACGUACCUGUAACUGAAGUAAUUCUGUAAGGCCUCAUUUGGCUUGCAUGAUUCUUAAAACGCAGGGAUAGGAAAAACACCGGAAUAGGAUAGGAAAAUGCACAUGGUAAACAGAGCAUUUGUAAACACAGGAUUUCUAUCAACUUGGGUGUUUGGUUUACAGGAAUUGGAAGAGCAGAGGAAUGCAAAGAAACAUGGCCAAAAUAAAGUGAAACCAUAUGAAAGAGUGUACAGUUAGAAUGUUAUUCUGGCACUAAUGCACUUGGUCUUGUUUUUAUGCAUAGGAUUUUGAAAAGUAGGUCCAGGUGGAUGUUUUGCUUCAUUCCUUUCAAUAAAAUGCAUGAAUAAUUGAAUAGUAGAGUGCCAUUGGAAAAUUCCCUAUUGCUAUGUUUUUCCGUUGAACCAAAAUAGCCCUAAUGGAUCGACGUGAAUGUAUAGUAGUAAGUGACGCAAUAAGUGUACAACCUCUUUGCCGUAGCUGUGUCGACCUCAGCAUCAUUGGGUUGGUCGCUGAAGCAGUUGAGGCAGAGGUGGCUGUCGGAGGUGUGGAGGAAGAUCUGAGGAAUCUGUAGACGGCAUCCAGGGCACUGCUCUGUUGUGAUGGAUCGUUCUGUCAUUGGAGCAGCUCCGGUGAGCUGUAAGACGUCAAGGCUGAAGCAGCACAAGACAUACAUCGUCAAUCUCAAGUGGGAUACUAAUAGCAUCUCCAAUAGAUGAUGAAGAAUGGAUGUAAAAUUAACAUCACCAAAAACCUUGUCGUGUAUGUGAAACAUUCAAUGCUUAUUUCUUGCUAAGUUUGUCAUAUGUGCCAAUUCAAUUCCCUGUUUUGAUGAAUAUGCCUAUUCCAGAUAAGUAGAAUGAGCUUGUUAAAAUAAUAAUAAGUAGAAUGAUAAAUACUGGUGUGUCUUUAGUUUUUAUAUUGAAAGUAUCAGUGUAAUAUUUCUUCUAUCAGUGACAUACUUUUUGUUCUCUUUUGAAUGUCCAGAUGUUUUGCAAAAGGAAGAAGCAGUACUUGAAGAAGCAGAUUACAAUGUUUUCUUGUCGUGAAGCACUAGAUAGGCUUGCUCUAUUUAUUCUUCCUGUUCUAGAGUAUUCCAGCACCUGAAUGCUUGACUACAACAAGUUGUAGGUUGCUUGAGUCUGUACAUAUGUGAUGAAAAUUUGUAGAAUGUGUGUUCUGAGAUAUUUUCGUAAUAUUCAGCUAAUUUGUGGUAACUUGAUUCAUAUUGUUAUUCAAACUGGUUUGAAAUUUUUCUUUAAAUGGUCUGGAGUUGGACCUUAAAGAGGCUAAGGAUCAAUUAUAUUGGACAAAUAUUUUGGGUAAAAAAGUAAAACGAAAAUAAAUGAAUGUGGAAAGGCCAAGGCCCAGGAAAGAAAAACCUGGAAAACAUUGGGCUGGACUCAUUUGAAAAAAAAGAUAAAAAGGCUAAAAUGUGGGCUUGGCCCAUGUAGUCAACCAAAUUAAUAGGAAAAAUAUAUAUUAAAAAGGCCGAAUUGUUGGGCUAGGCCCAUGUAGAAAACUGAAUUGGACCGGGCUGAAUCUUGUGCCACAUCAGCUUGCCACGCUGGAUGCCUACGUGGCCUGGGGAGGUUGCUAGUGACCAAAACACCACAGUAGGCAUAUUUUGGUCGUAAACGUCUACGACCUUCUCACAGAGAAGGUCGCUAUAGUCAGUUUACGACCGCCAGCUUUUGACCUUCUGUUUUUGGUCACAAAAAGAUCGCAAAUGAAAAACCAUGACCUUUCAGUGACCAAUAGUGAUGGUCACAAGUUGACAUAUUUCUUGUAGUGUAUUAAGGAGGUUGUUUCUUUGCACAAAAUUAGGGGUAGUUUCUCCUCUUCUGUAACAAGCGAAGAAGUGAACUUUCAAAAGUACUAUUAAAGAACGUAGAAGAAAUUUCAAGAAGCCGGUAUCGGUGUAUUAAGGGUGCAUUUGACUAUAUAGAUAUGUAAGUAUAGACGGAUAAACAGAAAAUACUGUUGAUAAAUUAAUAGCCUAUCUGUAAAAUAGAUGCUUUAUGUCUGCUGUGCAUAUGGUUUCUGCCAAUUACCUUGUCAUAAAUAAAAAUUAGUAUGCAUUUCUGCCAACUACCUUGUGGCAAAUUAUAAUUAUCUAUCAGUACACUGUGAUAAAUCAUAUACAACACUGCAUGGUUAUUUAUUAUUAAAAAUGGCAUUAUUUUCUUAAGUAAUGAAUUAAUACUCCCUCCAUCUCAUAAUAUAAGAUGUUAUGACGACCGAUCUACUCACAUAUUGUUUGUAAUAACAUCUAAUAUUAUGUGGCAGAGGGAGUAUUAAUUGAAAUUCUAUUAUCUACUACUCCCUUCAUUCCUAAAUAUAAGUCUUUUUAGAGAUUAUAAUAUGCACUACGCACGGAGCAAAAUGAGUGAAUAUACACUCUAAAACGUCUAUAUGCAUCCGUGUGUAGUCCGUAUAGAAUUCUCUAAAAAAACUUAUAUUUAGGAAUGGAGGGAGUACAACAAUGCAAAAAAAAAAACAUGCUUCUGCCAACUAACUUGUGAGAAAUCGACACUCGGAAGGUGGCAAAUAUAACACUUAUUAGAACUGAUACUAUGUAGUAUUACCUUAUCUAUACCUUCAUGAUUUGAUACUAUAAUUUAUUUCCUCAUCUGGAACUAAAAGUUCCACAUUACCACUACACAAUCAUUAACAACAUCUUACCUCGUGUGAGGUAAUAGCAAUAUUAGCGUAGUUAUUUAUGGAGUAGUACGAAAUGAUAUCUUGAGGUGCUCGAUUUGGGCCAGAAGCAUACAAAGUCAAGUUUUUCUUUUUGAACAAAGUACUAGGGGUGAGAGAAACUGAAGGAACGUCAGGCUCCACCGAUUUAUAUUCAUUCAUUGCGGAGAGAAUGCCUAUGGGAUGGCGCCACACACGUGGUUGGGCUCUCUCCACUUGACCGACAACGUCUAAGAACAUCUUUAACAGGCGCCCAAAAGCUGCUCCGUGCAUAAAAAACCAUUCUUUUAUGACGCCGGAAACGUUCCAACAGAUGUUGUAAAAUAGUACAUGUGUAAAAGAAUUUUAUGCACGUGCUUAAAAGCGCUAUCGCACGCUACAAAUAUUGAACGCCGUAUAACGCGCUUCAUAAUUUGCACUGCGUAUUUUUUGGACGCGGAUUUUUGAGCAUAUGUGGAAAACCUAUGCUGGCCGCGGCGUGCUAAAAGUAAUAUAGUGGGGCUGUAAAACUAUUUUAGCGCUUCACCUCUGUUGGGAUGCUCUAAUGCGUGAACGUGUGACCAGCAUUGACUAGCUAUGUACACACUACGUCGGCUCACAUAUGCAUACAUAUUCACAUCCGAGCAAGUACGUAGGCAGCUCACUGUAGUACCACAAUAGAUAUCUUAAGGUGACACUGGAUUGGUUGUUGAAUCUUGCAAUAAGUAAGGACAAAUUUGUAAUACGAUUCCAGUACGCGAUUACACAUGUGUCAGAUUGACUAGGCGAGGGCCGCUGGAUUGACAGAUCGUGGUACGUGGAGGGCACAGCUUGGUUGUUUGUUCGUCCGUCGAUCUGCAUAUGCACGUACAAUACGGUCGCUAUCCUGUCCUAUGCAAAUAUCACAAGUCUUUCGUUACUACUCCCUUCGUCCCAUAAUAUAAAUGCAUUUUUAACACUUCUGUAGUAUUAAAAACGCUAACAUUCUUAUAUUAUGAACUAAGGAAGUAGUAGAUAUGUACUCCCUCCGUCCCAAAAUUCUUGUCUUUGAUUUGUCUAAAUACGGAUGUAUCAAAUCACGUUUUAGUAUUAGAUACAUAUGUAUCUAGACAAAUCUAAGACUGGAUACAUACAUUUAUUUCUUUUUCACGUCAGACUGGAUACAUACAUUUAUUGGACCUACACAAUCAUUAAAGGACAACAUGUUCCCCAAGGAAUAGUGGCCUAUUGAAAGGACAUUCAGUUUGGCAGAAUUAUGUAGCUUCUCUUUUCAGGCAAUCUCGCAAAACGUUUAUUCAACUACCACAAUGUUUACCCGGACGAAAUGAAUACCACCGGACUGGCCUAACCAAACAUGUUGGCAAACUCCAAAAGUCAAAUUAUGUUUCGAAAUUGUGAGACUCGACAUUUGAGCUCCUGAGAGCAACAGCAACGCAGGUACCCAUUUCGUCUGCCGCCGUUCGUUUGGGUCGGCGCGGACAAAAGAGCUGACCCAACGCGCCGACCCAUUCCCAUAGCGCGUCCGUGCGGACCUAUUUGCGGCUGUAGUGCGUCGGCGCAGACGCGAAGCUGACUCGCCGCGCGUCCUCUCGGUGUCCGCCGCGUCCCCACCUGGCGGCCACCCAACUACCAUGGUUAGCUUUAUUAAUGACGACCGCUCAUCACGCGCCCAGGCAUCAGCGAUGGUGGUCGGUCUUUUUUAAUCCAAGCAUGCGGUGGGGGCCAUUCUCAUCCGCUUCCAGAUGCCCCGUCCCAUCUCGCCACCCCUGUCCUCCCCCGCCGGCGACAAAGCCUAGCAAAAUCCUAGCCACCACAAUGGGCCUCAUCUCAGGAAAGGGAAAGGGCAAGGGCCCUGCCGUCCGUCCGCCGUCGUCUUCCCGACGGCCAAGGUAGCGCAUCACCAUCCCAGUGCACCAGGCGAAGUGGCACUGGGGGCACCGCGUCCCCCUCCCCUACCCUGACGUCACGCAGCCGCACGACUGGCACUUGGAUCCGGAGAGGAUCCAAGUGUCGGCGGCACCGUGGUCGGCGUGGGCUCAUGCGCAAGAGGUGCGGUGCCGGAGGCAGCUGCUGACGCCGGAGCAACGUUGCGACCUGGUAUAUGCAUUCGACUUGCCCGCAUGGGAGCGGUGGUUCCCUUCGAGCACGAGCAAGCCAGGAGUCGCGGCGUCCACGACGUCUGACAUGGCUCCCUGCCGCCGGCCCUCGUCUUGCUCGACGAGGACCAUGAGGAGGAGGCCGCCUACCAGGCGGCGCUGGCCGCUGUCCUCCGUGAAAGUGAGGAGGAGCGGCGCAAGGACGAGGAGGAGGACGAGGCGUACCAGGCGCGCAUGGUGGAGGCCAUGGCGCUCUCCGCGGCCGGCGACUUCAUCAUGCCGCCCCUCGUGCCGCCGUCCCUCAUCAAGGCCGAGCUGGAGACCGAGCCGACCCCGUCGAGCGCUACUCCUGGACCAGGCACGUGCGUGAGUGUGCCAGCACGCCACCGGUCUAGUAUCGGGCGACAGCGGUGCAGGAGAAGGCCUACCUCGAGCAGUGGCGGCAGCAACGGCUGGCCGAGGAGUGCCGCGAGGGCGACUACCUCGAGAUGCUCAAGCGCGACGUAGAGGAGGAACAACGUGAGGUGAAGGACGAGGCGCGCCUUCCCGGUGUUGGGCCAGCCCAGUCGGCGGCCGCUGCUGUACAACCAGCGGCGGACGAUGUCGCUCAAGCCUGGUGAAUGGCGUUCCCUUCGUCUGGCCCUGCGCCGAGCUCAUCGACCUCACUGGCCCCGACGACGACGACGAGGACGCCUAGGGUAGUGCACCACCUCGUAGUUUUAAGUGGACUCUUGGACUCUCGUCGGUCCUUGUGGCCGCAUUAAUGUUUAAUUAAUGUUUUUACUUUACCCAAUAUGCUUGUGUUAUGUUUUUUUCGCGCGACCUGAAAAAUGGGUCGGGCCAGCGUUGGGCGCAUGUGCCGACCCAAACGCGAAAGCGGACAUGGGUGUCCGCCGGGCCGACCCAAACGGAUAAAAAGCAGACAAAAACGCCAUCUGUUUGGAUCGGCGCGUUGGAGUUGCUCUAAAUUAGUGAACUAUAUUACAUGAUAUAAAUGUUGAUAAGUGUAGUUUGAUCUCCUGGAUGAUUGCUCCAUAUGCAGCACCACUUCGUUGUGAACUUCUUUUACCACCCCUUGCAAUCCGAUGACACAUGAAUCCGAUGCCACAUGAAUACGGUUCUGGUUCAGAUCCUCGGCUAGAGCUAGCCUCUUUCUGAUAGCUAGGGCUUCUAAAGUAGCUGGGUCACCAAAGUUGGUGAAAAUAAAAGCCGAAUCUCCCAUAAAUCUUCCCACAUGAUCCUUGCAAAUGGCAUCGACCGCUCCGUUCUGCCCCUUCCGGCCAACUGUUGCAUCAAUGUUUAGCUUUGCGUGAUGUUCAGGAGGUGCCAGUCAUCCAGUCGGACAGGUAGUUGCACUCCCAUGUGACACGAUGAAGUCAUGUAUAGCAUGUGGGGUCUUAUAAAUACAUCAAUGUAUUCCUACGGGCACCCCAGAUCGCCCACAUGGUUACUACAACUUGGUAAAAUCUUCCGAUGACUACGCUCCCUGCACAGCGAAGAUCCAGCCCUUCGCGUUCUCCUCCUGGUGUAUACUCAACUGAUCUAGGAAAGCUUCGGACCACAAUGCACAUGUACUCCGCGACACUGAUCUAGGAUAGCUUUCGUAUUCCAUGUAUCAUAUAUGCCGCACAAGUUACAGGCUCAGGUCGUGCCCAUGUGAAGACGAUGGAGAACCUCUCCUGAUGGGAUUGAAUGCCUAGCCAACCGCGAAAUAAAUACCCUGAGCUUCGACGAAGCCUGAAGUUUUCCAGAUUGACUUCUAUUCCUCACGUUCUUCCUAAAGUUUUGACGAUCCCUCGUGGCCUUCUAGCCAGCUCUCUCUGUUUUGCUUAGUCCGGACCAACAUGUAGUAUGUUGAUCCCAUAGUAAAGUUGCCUCGAGGUUCUUCACUCCAUGCCCAGAAAUCCUCGAUCCUCCUAGUACACAAUGAGAUCUUAAGUAUUGCCUCAGCAUCAAACAGCGUAAAAAUUGAACUAAAGUUAUUCCAACGCACUAGUCUGCUCAAUAAGCUCGGAGACUUUUUGUGGGGAAGCUUGAAUUAGAGAAGUGAUAGGUCGUUUGUAACUCUCCCUUGGUAUCCAAUUAUGGGCCCAAAUGUUAUGCACCAGUCCCGCCGUCCCGCAUGUCUUCACCUAUUGUUCAACCACCAGCCGGACCGACCGGGUGCCGCUGUCGCUGGUGACACUGUUGGCACCUCUCUUCCCAACUUUUUUUCCAGUUACUGUUCAUACAAAGCAAACGCUCCCGGGAGCGAAAAUGCCUCCACCAUCAAAGACAUGGUAUAUAGUUCCUUCUUAUUCGUUUCCGUUUUUAUUGAUUGAUGCUUGCAUUUCCAUUGCAUAUGAAUGUACAUUGUUGCCAUCAUUUUCAUUAGUAAUAUAAGAUGCUUUUCAUUUUCAUUGCAUACGAAUGUCCAUUUGCACAAGUCUUUCUUUACAACUCCCUCCAUCCUAUAAUAUUAGAUGUUAUGACAAUCAAUGUACUCACAAUUUUUAACACAUAUGUACCCACAUAUUGGUUGUAAUCACAUUUUAUACUUUGCGACAGAGGGAUUAAUAAUUAAAAAUUCUAUUUCCUGCUACAAUAAUGCAAAAAAAUAUGCUUCUGCCAACUAAUUAACUUGUGAGAAAUUAAAACUGGGAAGGAGGCAAAUAUAACAUUUACUAGAACUGAUACUAUGUAUUACCUUAUUUAUACUUUUAUGAUUUGAUACCACUAUAAUUUAGUACUUCCUUGUUUGCAGAACUAAAAGUUCCACUUUUUUUUUGCGGAAGAAAGUUCCACAUUUCCAAUACAUAAUCAUUAACAACAUCUUACCUCGCGGGAGGUAAUAGCAACAUUAGCCUAGUCAUUAUGGUGUAGUACGUAUUGAAAAUCUUGAGGUGCUUGAUUUUCGACACAAGCGUACAAAGUCGCGUUUUUCUUUUUAACAAAAAUAGGGUGAGAGAAACUGAAGAAUACAUCGGGACACACCGAUUUAUAUUCAUGGGGUAGAGAUUACCUAUGAGGCGACUUGAACGACAGCGUCUAACAUGUGAAACCAGACCGCACGUUCAACGCGCGACUGUGAGAGGAUCUUCCGACAGUCACAUGUAGCACUGCUGGUCUUUAUCAUCGUUCGUAACCAGGUACGCCCGUGUGAAUUUGUUACCGAACACUACAGAUUUGUGAAGCUUGACAAUUCUCGUACGUUGGGUUCUAUUGGCACUUGUAGAUGCAAGUACACAUGCAUGUCAUGCUGGCUUUGUUGCGUCGUGUGCGUACCUACAUAACGCCUACCAGCAUUGACUAGCUGCGUACACACUCCCUUGACUAGCCCUGUAGAAGGCACCCGGCAAAUAAGAGCCACGUGGCACGGCCGUUUGCAGCUGGCGGCCCUGUGACGGUGCGUAACUUUUGACGAGACCCCCGACAAAAGGAUCUCGACAAAAAGAAGCCGCUGGCAGUUGCUCCACCCCAUUUGCCGAGCUUGAUAGUUGGCAAAAACGGUAAAUGCAACCUUAGUAAUUCUACCUUUUUUUUAAGGUUAUCCAUGUUUUUCCAUGGAUGCUCUUUUCUCUUAUGCAUUUUCAAGCUUAUUAGGGCAGAAAAUCAAGAUCUAACCAGCGACCAUGAAAGAUCUAGCUUUCGGGUGGGGUGAGUCUGGUUUGUGAAGGGGGUGCGAGGCCCACUCCUCCGUUGGCCUCAAAACUUUUUCUAUGAUCGUGAGGUUCCGUUCGAAGGCACGUGCCAGUUUUUCUAGGAUCGUGAGGUUCCGUUCAAAGGCACGUGCCAGGUCCUGGGACUUUUCGAGGGCCGCCGGCCAUAUUCCAUACAUUUCCAGCAUUUCCAGGGGUUCACGCGGGAAAUUGAUGAGCGGGGUUGCGACCAUGGGAAAUCAUGGACGGAAAGGGCCGGGAGUCCCCGCAGACAGUUUUCUGUCCAUGCCCAGGCGCUACGCACAGAACCAUGAGGGUGGGCCAGGUGCGGGCGGCACGGGGCCGCCAAUGCCCAUCUUGUUGAUGUUUAAAUCCCUAAAAAAUCACGGGAGCCCGGAAAUUAACGGGACAUCGUGUGGCGUCUUCCCAUAGCCAAUGGAGGCAGUGGUAAAAAUCCGAGGCCGUUUCGCAUACUGCCUUCCUAGAGGCUUAGUGCAAACGGGACCUUGUUCGGCGAAGGAUCUAGCUUUCUAGUGGGGGUAUGUCCAGUUUGUGAAGGGGGUGUGGGCCCGUUCCUUCGCCCGUUCCUUCAUUGGCCUCGAAACUUUUUAUGUGCUCACGAGGUUCUGUUCGAAGGCACGUGCCAGGUCCUUGCAUUUUUCGGGCGGCGGCAGCCAUAUCCCAUGAAUUUCCUGCAUUUACAUGGGUUCACGCAGGAAAUUCAAGAGCGGGGCAGCGGCCACAUGAAAAUCAUGGACCGAAAUGGCUGGGAAUCCCUGCCCGUGGUCUUUUGUCAAUGCCCAGGCCCUGUGCGCACAGCCGGGAGGGUGGGCCUCACGCACGGGCAGGGGGUGUCAGUGCCCGUCUUGCUGUCAUCUAAAUCCCCGGAAAAUCACGGGAGCCCGGAAAUUGAUGGGACCUCGCGCGGCGUCUUCACACGACCCGUGGAGGCAAUGAUAAAAAUUCGAGGCCGUUUUGCAUACGCCUAACGCAGGCUUAGUGCAAACAGGAUUUUGUCCGGCUAAAGAUCUAGCUCUCGAUUUGAAAGAAUAUGUGUGCUCUUCAUCAACGUAGACAUUUAUCUACAGUAGAUCUUGAAUAACUGAUUGGUAUUGUGAAAUGACGUAGGAGGACCGUUCCUUUGACAAAGUAGCUACAUUGACGACUAGUCCGACGAAAGAAAAAUACCCCCGCGUCGCCCUCCUCNNNNNNNNNNNNNNNNNNNNNNNNNNNNNNNNNNNNNNNNNNNNNNNNNNNNNNNNNNNNNNNNNNNNNNNNNNNNNNNNNNNNNNNNNNNNNNNNNNNNNNNNNNNNNNNNNNNNNNNNNNNNNNNNNNNNNNNNNNNNNNNNNNNNNNNNNNNNNNNNNNNNNNNNNNNNNNNNNNNNNNNNNNNNNNNNNNNNNNNNNNNNNNNNNNNNNNNNNNNNNNNNNNNNNNNNNNNNNNNNNNNNNNNNNNNNNNNNNNNNNNNNNNNNNNNNNNNNNNNNNNNNNNNNNNNNNNNNNNNNNNNNNNNNNNNNNNNNNNNNNNNNNNNNNNNNNNNNNNNNNNNNNNNNNNNNNNNNNNNNNNNNNNNNNNNNNNNNNNNNNNNNNNNNNNNNNNNNNNNNNNNNNNNNNNNNNNNNNNNNNNNNNNNNNNNNNNNNNNNNNNNNNNNNUGGAAGCCCAGGCGUGAGGUGGGGAUGAGGCGGUGUUGGGCGGAGCCAACGUGCGUGAUCUGGGCAUCGUGUGCGUGCGGGCUUCCAUCGUGGUCGUCCUCACAGUGGGUGUUGCAGCACCCGCUGCUCGUGACGAAUGUGGUGGUGGUGGAUGGGACUCCCGGCAGUGGCAUCGAUCCAAGCUCGGAUCCACUCCAUUGCCCAACCAUGUUUGUGGGGGAUGCAUGAAGGACUGGCCUUUCCAACUUUCCGACCAUCGUUGAGGUCUUGACUCGUCAUCUGAAGGGCCUGGGAGUCAAACAUGCCUCCCGUCUGGUGGCGAUGCGCCGCCGGGGAGCUCGCCUUCUACCCAGGAAUGACAAGGCGGGGCGGUGGCGCCCAGAUCUAGCCAGCCCGGGGUGGGCAUGGACCUGGCGGCAUCCAUCAGUCAUCGUUGUUAAAGCAUGAGCGAGGAUGGAGUUGGGGCCAUGGAUACCAAGGCGAUGUCCUUGGUGGUGGGAGCGGCGGUACCCGGGGGCGGGGCACACAACUCGGAUGGUGACUGGUUGCUUGGGUCGUGUGGGCGGCGUGGCGGCUGGUGUGCGAUGGCCGGGGAUAGUGCGACGACCAUCAUUGUGGCCUGAUGUAUUCCGUCUCGGAGGCGAAGAGGGCUUGCCGGCAUGAAAAUCCUCUCUAGCUUGGCCCGGCCGACAAUGGCGGCGCCUAUGUGCGUCAUCUCCUUCUUGAAGGUGUCGUUGCGAUUUCUCUUCAUCCGUCUUGUUGUUCCGGGGGAAACCUUGAUCAUUUGAUCAGACGGUGGCAGCACUUCAGUGUCGUGUCCUUCCUGAAGACACCUCUUUGAAGCAUGUGGUUCGUCGUGCAUGGCUUCGUCUCUUCAUUGUGAUGGAGGGCUCCAGAGACAUCAAGCGGUUUCCUGUAGUUUGCUUGGAGUGUUUUGGGGUUGUGAAGCUUUUGCAAUCGCCCUUGUAUCUUGCUUGGGUGUGUGUGGUAUGUCGAGUUGUUAGUGUUGUUGUGGUGUGUGUUUGUAUCGGUUGGUUCAGUGAUGGUUGCUUUAUAUAUAAAGUUGGGGAAACCUUUUUGGUACAAAGGACGUAGGAGAAACUGCAAGGUGCUCGCACUUACCUCAUAGGAGGUAAAAGGAUGUAUUUAUUUAAGGGUACAUUUGACUAUAUAAAUAUGUAAUAUUACUACUACAUAAACAAAAAAAUACUGUUGACAGAUUAGUGGCCUAUCUUUCAAAAUAGAGGGGGUUUGUUCAUAUGGUUUCUGCCAAUUACCUUGUUACAAAUCAAAAUUAGUACACAUUUUUGCCAACUAACCUGUGACAAAUCAUAAUUAUCUGCCAGUACAUGCUGACAAAUGAUAUACAAAUCUGCAUGGUUAUUUAUUCUCGCAAAAUGGAAUUAUUUUUUGAGGUAAAAACACCGGGAGUCAUAGAACUUGCAUAGGACGGUCAGUUUGGCGCAUAAACUUGCAAAAUACGUUUUUCUGGUCAUCCAACUUGCACGGACGUUCAUAUACGGUCAUAUUUCACGUACGCGAGCGUAUCCGUGGCUUACAUGGCAUUCCCGGGCCCGCUUUCAGCUGCUGUCAGAUGAUAGAUUUGCAGAAAAAUCCUUGGCUUUUGUUAUUUACAUAUUAGGCCCCUAAAAAUGGAAAAACAAAUAUAGGGAAUGGAGGUGUUUCAAACCCAACACCUGCUCCUAGUAAGCUCGUGUGAACGAACAGACCAAUGAUUGUUCUUGUCCAAAUAACACGACUAACCUUUAUAUCAUAUAAACGCCGCCAAAAAAUAAAUUUGAAAAGAAAUGUAACCCGAAAAAGGGAGCACUGUGGCUCAAACAUGUGACCUCAUGGUCAACGUUACCAAGGUUACCACCAGGCUACAACAACACAACAUGUGUAAAAGGGAAAAACAUUUUUCUACUUUUACAUACACAUUUUAAAAAAAUAUACAUCAGAAACAUUUUCAUAUAUUUUAACAUUUUCUAAUAGAACAUUGUUUUUUUAAUAUAUGUUUUGAUGUCUACUUAUACAUACACAUUGUACAUUUUUUGCAAAUCAUCAGAAGAAUUUUUAUAUAUUAUUAAAAAAUUUCCAAUAGAAGAUAUUUUUUCAAAUAUAUGUUUAGAUGUCUAGUUUUACAUACACAUUGUAGUUUUUUAUACUCCAGAAACAUUUUUAUACACGUUAACCUUUUCAAAAUACAUGAUUAACAUUUCUAAACAUAUAUGUUUUGAUGUCUUUUCUUUUCAUACACAUUAUCCAUUUAGGUAUACAUCUAAUAUUUUUUAUACAUGUUUAAUAUUUUUUAAACGUAUGAUUACAUUCUUUCACACACAAAUCUUUGAAACCUUUUCAAAAUACGUGUUAAACAUUUUUGCGAAGGUACGAAACAAUUUUUACAUUGUAUAACAUUUAAAAAUUUCAUGAACAGUUUUUCAAAAUGCGUGAACAUUUUUUCCAAUGCAACGUAUGUUUUUUUUAAUCAGCAAAUAUGUUUUACAAUGUUCAUUUUUUUACAAUGUCACGCACCUUUUAUUGGUAAUACAAAUAUUUUUAAAAUUGUCACAAACACAAGAAUAUAAGUUGUUUUCGUACGUAGAACAAGAGGAAAUAACAACGUGAAAAUUGUUUAUCCCUUCUGCACAUGUUGUGUUGUUGUAGUCUGGUGGUAAUCUUACUUAACGUAGACCACGAGGUCACAUGUUUGAGGCACAGUGCUCCCAUCUUUCGGGUUACAUUUCUUUUUAAAUUUAUUUUCAGCCGCGUUUAUAUGAUAUAAAGGUUUGUGCGUGUAAUUAUAACAAGAACAAUAGUCGGCCUAUUGGUUGUCACCCGAGAUCACUAAGCGCAGGUUGUGGGUUUGCAACCCCCGGCAUCCCCUGAUUUUACAUUUUGUGUUUUGAGCUUUAUAUGUAAAUAAAAAAACCAAGGAUUUUUGUGCAAAUCUACCAUGCGACAGAGGCUGAUAGCGGGCCCUAGUCACGCUGGCAUGCCACGUAAGCCACGAAUACGCCCGCGUACGCGAAAUGUGACCGUAUAUAAACGUCAGUGCAAGUUGAAUGACUAGAAACACGUAUUUUGCAAGUUUAUGCACCAAACUGACCGUCGCGUGCAAGUUCUAUGACUCCCGGUGUAUUUAUAAUUAAUACUAAUAAAUAAUAAUUAAGAUUCGAUUUCCUUGUACAACAACGCAAAAAUGAACAUGCUUCUGCCAACUAACUUGUGACAAAUCAGAAUGUACUUACACAAGUUAGUUGGCACAACGAUGUUACCGGUUGCAGGCACAAAUUCGCGCUCACCACUGGUAUGUAAAUUACAUAUCAGUGGCAGGGAGAGUUUUCUGCCCGUCACUUGUAUCAUGCUAGAUUACCAUUGGCAGACGCUAGGUUGCGUCCGCCACUAGUGUGACCCCGUCUAUAAGCAGUUUCCAACAGUUAUAUAAUAUAUAUACGACCAUGUACUCUUCAAUCUUUUGACUUUUUUUAGACCCCUCCUCCGCUUUCGCGUAUUCUUCAUGGUAAACUCUCCAGGGACGGAACCAGGUUUUGGACAAGGACAGGGUGAAGAUGACAUUGGAAGAUCACACAAAGAAAGUCACGGUGUAUGUAGCAUUCUCGUAUUCUAGACAUAAGUACACCGUAAAUUCUAGUCAUCCGUACGGCCAGUAUACUACGGUAGAAAUGAACAUAAUUACAUGUCUAUUGAUUUUAUUUAAAAUAGAUUGUGUACUUAACUACCAAAAAUAUCAAAGGCCGAUUAGUUGUUCAGAACUAAACUUGGUUUUCGUCUCUUCUUCAUGUGUCUACACAAACGUGAGUUUGCAAUCGAAUAAUUUCAAUUAUAAAAUUGGUGAAUAAUAUUUGUAGCCACUACUUUAAUAAUUUCUUGCACGACACAACUAGGCAUAACUAGGAAAAUACGGGAAUACAUACCUUCAUUGCAUGGUUGUAGGUGCCGCUCAUGCUUCGCCCUUGCAGUUCGAGUCGUCGAUUGUUGGGUUGGAUUAAUCCACUUUGGAUCUUCAUCUUGAAUCUUUGUUAGCUUCAAAUUUCAGUCUCAAGAUUUGGCUGGUUCGACGGAAGGAGGCGCGCAUGCGAGAAGAAAGAGGGAGGAGACCACAAAACCAAUCUACUUCCGAUAGAUCAAUCACCGCAAAACGAGGGUAACAGUUAACAUUCUAUUUCCUACCGCAACAAUCAAACAAAAAAUAUGUUUGAGCCAACAACCAUGUCAGAAAUCAAAAUUGGAACCACUCAAAUAAAAAAUCAAUACAGUAAGGUCGUAAAGAUAACAUUUAUUACAAUGAUUUAUAUAUUACCUUAUCUAUACCUUCAUGAUUUGAUACCACUCUAAUUUAUUUACUUAUUUGUGAAAGUAAAAAAUCCAUAUUAACCAUACAUAACCAUUAACAACAUUUUUAUUGUAUAAUUUGGAUUGAUUAUCGCAUGUGUCACAUGGUAUCAUUAACAACAUCUUACCUCAAUCACAAAAAUAAAUAAAUAAGUAAAAUCUUACAUCGCGGCAGGUAAUAGUAAUAUCUUGGGACACUCCAUUUCAUAUACUUUCCUCCGUUCUUAAAUAUUUUUCUUUUUAAAGAUUUCAAAUGGACUACCAUAUAUAGACGUAUAUAGAUAUAUUUUAAAUUGUAAAUUCACUCAUUUUGCUCCGUAUGUAGUCACUUGGUGAAAUCUCUAGAAAGACGAAGGGAGUAGAAGAAUAAAAAACCAACUUUGCUACUAUUUAACAAAAAUAGGGUGCGAGAUAUUGUAGGACACAUCGGGGCCACCGGUAAUCUUCUCGUGGGAGAGAUUAUGGAAGGACACACUAGGCCCACCAGUUGAAUUAAGGGGGCCGGAGAGAUUAUGGGAGGGUGCAGGCACACGCGGGUGCGUCCUUUGCACCUGACCGACAACGUCCAGCGUGUGAAGCCACACUGCGAAGGAGUCUUCUGUCACGUAGCACCGCCGGACUUUGUCAUUGUUCGUAACGAGUACCAAACACUAGUUUUGUGAAUCCUUGACAAUUCUAAUGGGUUCUGUUGGCAUUUGUAGAUGCCUGUUUACAUGACUCCCUCCGUCCGAAAAUACUUAUCGAAAAAAUGUACGUAUCUAAGCCUAUUUUAGUUUUAUAUACAUUCAUUUUUAUUCAUUUCUUCGACAAGUAUUUCUGGGCUGGAGUAUGUCAUGUGGCCACGUACGUACGUGGUGCACUGUCACUGUGCGUAUGUACCAGAAUCUGACCCACCUCUCGCUCGCUGCGUCCUCCCUUUGCGUUCACAUAAUUGUUGGACGUACGAUAGCUUUCGCUCCCGAACGAUACGCCAUCGUUCAUUCUGCAUGUGCACAUACGCUAGGGUAGUAUCCUGUCCUAUGCACGUAACGCACAAGUCUUUCUUUGUUAAUUUCUUUUUCAUGUCAGAGUUGAUACAUCCAUUUAUUAGGCCUACAUAAUCAUUAACAACAUGUUCUCCCGGGGAAUUAAUGGCCUGUUCAAAGGACAUUCAGUUUUGCAGAAUUAUGUAUCUCCAGGACGCAAUUGUUCGGUCAUCUCAUCAAUGUCAGAUUUUUUUGGAGUGCAAAUCGCCCGCCCUCUUUAUUGUUUCCACCCGAAGUGGUUACUUGUUGGGCAUUAAUUCAAACCUGCACAUAUGAAAAGAUAAAAAGAAAUCUCAAACCUGCAAACCUACAUGCCCCUCCUUUCUCCUAGUAGCAUGCUACCUCCGUCCGGCUUUAUUGGCCCCUUCAUAUUUAGAGCCAGACUUUGACCAUCCAUAGACUAUUUAAAUAUAAAUUAUAUGCUAUAAAACAAUAUACUGUUCGAUUUGUAUUUGCAAGAACUUUCCGACAAUAUAAUUUUUCUGACAUAUAGCUUACAUUUUGUUCGUUAAAUUUUUAGAUCAAAAAAUUUAACCCAAAAUAAGAAGAGGCCUAAUAAUCUCGGACAAAGGGAGUAGCAUGCAUGCCGUCCUUCCCCUCCAUUAUAAAAAGGUUAGUAUGCCAACCCGUGCAUAGUGCGGCUGAUGCGCCAUAGCGCUGGAUAUGUAGGCUAAUGGUCUACUAAUAUGCAAUAAUUAUUCCCUAGCCCACGAAAAGAAAAAUUAGUUAACAUAGCGCACUCCACAAAAUUUUUGUUUAUGUGUCAUGUAUUUAAUAAGGAGAGAGUUUUUAGAGUAACAUAAUAUAUGUUACUAUAGCAUAGCGGUUCCUGAGAAAUGAUGAGUCUACAAGCUAAUAAAUGAAUCCAUCUGUGAACUACUAAAACGAAGAAAAAAAUAUAAGAUGAGCCUGUAAACCGGAAAGGAGGGAGCACAAUUAUGCGCUGUUUAUCAUUUAGUACCCAGUCACCUUGGGUUACGAUCCUCAACCGUUUCUGUACGGUGCAACAUGAAAGAUGACUUGUGGUGUCGGUCCAAGUGGCAGCCACCGUAACUUUAGUGACGUUGCAUACCCGUCCGGAGGUUGAACCACACACAACUAUGCAUCUCUUUAUAUUAACGAGGGAUGCAGCUCGUUGUAUUCUGCGGUUGAUAUAUCUUAAUAGUUACACAAUCCUAAUACCUCUAUUCUGGGAUUAAUGAAUUGUACCUUCUUACUAAACUUCACUAGAUGAGCUCUUUUACGAACCUUCUAUCUAGGAACACUCCGUAUUGGCGCAUCUCAGCGACAUGGAGCGAGUCCAGCAGGUAGAUAUUCGUCCCAUCAGUCUAGUAAACGUCUCUCAGACAUUGAACAGACGCGAACACCGGGGUCAUGACGCAGGCGGUGUCCUCGGCCGGCGAGCCGCUUCAACACUAGCGCCAGUGACAGAUCACGUCUGCUCUGCUGGGCCGGCGUCAAUCCAGAGCGGCCACUCUAGAGCGGCAUGAAUACCCGUAGGUGGCGUCGAGCGGGAAAGCGCAGGGGCGAGGAAGAGGGUUUUGAGUGGGUUAGGUUUGUCGGAAACGAGCGUGGCAGUGGUUCGGACGUCCGUAAAGGCCCCCGUUUUGAUUACGUUUUGCGGGACGUCCGUGAGGGGCUCACCUCACCUCUAGCCUUCAAUUAUUUGCCUAGGCGAUAUUUGCACGUGACGUGACGAGAGAAGCCGGAUGUGCCCUGCUCCCGCACGUCCUUAAAUACUUGCCACCUCCUCUGUGGAUCCUCCAUCUCCCAACGCACCGAUCAGACUCUCGCCCCGUUUCCUUUGUUCUUCGCUACACCAUAUUGCACUAGGUAGCUCGCUCAAUACAUACUACAGUACUACUGUAGUAUCCCUCUUCUCUACUUUAUCCAAUUUAUGGUCGUACGUUAGUUCUCUCGGGUUCAGUUAUGGAGUAGGAUAGGAGUAGAAGGUAGGGGUUAAUUUAGUUAAAUCCUUGAUGAAAGAACCCGGCUUUAACAUUCCUCCUCUCUUUAAUAUUGCAUGCAGGAAGACGACUAUGGCAGGCAGCAGCAGCAUCCCAGCCACCACCGUCCGUGAGAUCCGUGUUGUGCAGCGCGCGGACGGGGCCGCGGCGGUACUGGCCAUCGGCACGGCGAACCCGCACCACUGCGUGCCCCAGGGAGACUACCACGACUACUACUUCCGCGUCACCAACAGCGACCACCUCACCGACCUCAAGCCCACCUUCGCCAAGCUAUGCGGGAUGACGGGCAUCGGCAGGCGUUUCUUCCACCACACCGACGAAAUGCUCGCCACGCACCCGAACUUGUCCC
rnacentral:lncRNA from 1 species